rnacentral:rRNA from 1 species
UGAGGAAUAUUGCGCAAUGGGCGAAAGCCUGACGCAGCAACGCCGCGUGGGCGAAGAAGGCCUUCGGGUUGUAAAGCCCUUUUCUGAGGGACGAGGAAGGACGGUACCUCAGGAAUAAGCCUCGGCUAACUACGUGCCAGCAGCCGCGGUAAAACGUAGGAGGCAAGCGUUAUUCGGAUUUACUGGGCGUAAAGCGCGUGCAGGCGGUUUCGCAAGUCGGACGUUAAAUCUCCUGGCUUAACUGGGAGGGGUCGUUCGAAACUGCGGGACUUGAGGUCGGGAGAGGGAAGCGGAAUUCCCGGUGUAGUGGUGGAAUGCGUAGAUAUCGGGAGGAACACCUGUGGCGAAAGCGGCUUCCUGGCCCAAACCUGACGCUAAGACGCGAAAGCGUGGGGAGCGAACGGG